rnacentral:lncRNA from 1 species
UUUGGGACUCGAUAAAUACAGGUAUGUUACUUUAGUUCAUAACAUUCAACAACGGCAUAGAGUACAGAGAGCAAAAGGGCAAACAUGUUUCUAUUGUUUGCAUUACAAUUUACAAGCUGAAGAUCACAACGUAGGAUUAGAACAACCUAACCAUGUCUUAAUAGCUUCUGAGGUUAAAGAAACCUGUACUCUACACAUAGCCAUAGCCUUCGUUGCCUGUUCAUAGUAUAUAAGACGAAGACAGUUUCUGGUUAGGACAGCAGUGGUUACCAUCGGAUUCAGAUAGAGAUAUUUGGUAACAAAAAGUUAUAAUUUGAAAUUACCUGAAGCUCCCAAUUUAUGCGCAGUGUAAUAAGUAUAUAAAGUAAUGCCAGAUAUCUUGUAGAAGAGGAUAACUUUAUACUACUUUCUAUAGCGGAUGUAAUAUUUGCAAGUGAGAAACUUAUUACCUUUCCUCCAAAGUGGAAGAUAAAAGUUAUAUAAUGAUAGCGCAAGGAAGUCCAAGAACAUAGUUAUCUUGUCAAUUUUCAUACAAUAUCGGGUAUUGAUCACAAAAAUAUAUAUAAAAGUAAUGGAUAUUAUUUAAAC